GGCAGGGCCUCUGGGGCCUGGCUCUGGGCCUGGGCCCUGCAGAGCCGCUCUUGUGUUUGCCUGCCUGUGCACACCUGCAAAGAAAUGAUAGUGCUGUUCUCAUGUCCCUGCCUGAAAACCCCUCAUUUCAAAUUUAUAGUCAUUCUGAGCCAGGGGGUUACAUUGUCCAUUCCAAGGGAGGAUCCUGCCUUCACUGGCAGACACCUGUCUUUCAAACCAAGACCGAUGCUCUCUUAGUCCUGGCUGAAUCAAACUGGAUUUCAAUUGAUUUGCAAAAGACCAGAACUUAAUUUGCAGUUUUUUUGCAGUUUAGCGACUGCUUUAUUAUGACGUUUGAUUCAAAAUAUAUUUCAGAAAUUAGUGUGAUAUAUGUGAUUUUAAACUCUCUUGUAAAAACCAAGAAUAAGCACAUUUAAAAAUUUAUUAGAGCAGCGUAAAGCUGUUCCCUGGCAAUUUGAGCUCUGGGGCAUAUGCCCUCACAGCUACCUCACUUGUUGCUGUUUUACCCAUUUAGUUUGCAGCUGACUCACCUUGGUCAUUUGUGCUUGCCUAGUUUUUGUGAUUAAUUUAGUUGGUCAGGGGAGGGGAGGCAGGAAAGACUAGGGAAAAAAAAAAGGCAGGGGAGGGGGGGACAAGAAAAAAGUUUUUGCAUUCAGUUCUGUCAAUGUAUUCAUUUUUCUCCCUUGCAGCUUUCUCUGUUUUUUCACAUCUUUUGAACGUGGGAUUGCUCGUACAUCAUACUGUGCCACUGCAUGAUAAUCAGCUUCAGCAGAUGUCUCUCUUCAAGCCUCUUCUUGGGGCUGAGAAAGAAGGAUUUUUGCAAUAACAGUGUGAGCAGAAAUGCAUUUUCUUGGGAAGAUAAGUUUAUACUUCAUCAAUGGACAGCAUGAGAGGAAGUGAUGCUGUAUUAAAAUCAAAAUCCAAAGGACCAGUCUCAUCAAGGAAUCAGUGUACAAGUCCUGAGAGCCAUGCAAGGGAAAGACGGGAUGGAAGGAGAAGCUGGAAGGAAUGGGUUAAAACCUUGUGCCUUUUCCCCUUUGCACAGAAUUAGCUGGAUGUGUUUUGCCCUUUUUGUCUGGAGUUGAAUGAUGUUCAGAGAUACAUUGCAUCUGUCUCACAUGGAAGUCACUGCUAGAAUGAAGACACUUGGAAUUCAGCAAUAUUUGAUACCAGAUACUAUAUUAUCACAUUUUCAGCUGUACACAUUUUUUCUCAGGGAAAUGUGAAAGGAUGAGAGCAGAACCUUUUACAAGAUUCCCAUCUUACAGGAAGGCCAUCACCCUGGUAUUGAACCAUGUUUCAUUUGAUGUAGUGCUGUGGAUGCUUCUAUUUAGCAUUGGGUCAACUGGGUAUUUGCUUUGGCUUGGUUUCUCUAUCAUUCCUAUAAAGCAAUCCAUCCAGGUGAAAUUUCUGGGAUUAUCUUCACAUUUCUGGUCUAAGUCUAUUUUUUCUUGAUUUUUACUUGCUAUAUUCUGUUCAAGUUCACUUGUGUCUUUCUUCUUCCCUUUUCCCCUUCCAGUUUUCACAUGGUAAUGAUAUUCUCAUAUGGUUUCUGAAGGCCAAAAUGCCUCUUUGAAGACAUUCCUUUGGGGUCUUAAUACAUUCUCCCCACCUGGAAGCAGAAUGCUCUAUGUGGUACAUGGCAUAAACCAGCAGAAAUACUGAAGCACCUGAAGUGUUUCUGUAUGACACAUGCACAGCAGAUCUUCUGGAAGCCUCAGUGUGACAAGCUUGACAUUCCAUGUUGCUCUGCAGAAAGUAAAAUUCGAUUUCAGUGGUUUUUAAAACUCAGUUUCUCAGAGUCUUCUGAUAACCAUGAGGCUGCCCAAACUAGAGAUAAGUAACAUCACAGCAUGUAAGAGAAGGUACUUCUGCGCAUGAAUUAACAUUUCAGGUUUGGAUUUAUGGACAGUAAACACGUUGCUAAGGAAUUUAGAAAUUUUAAGCCUUUACUUCUAAGCUGCAGGACACUUGUUUGGUUUUUUUUGCCACAGCAGUGAAAUUGUGAAAGUCAGAGCCUAUGUGUAGCCUAACCAAGCAUGGAAAGUCCCGUAAUGAGCUGAGGAAAUAUCAUUGCUACCAGGAAUUAUAGCAGAUGUGUUAAUGUAGACGUUUCUUCAGUUUCUGUAAAAUUUUCUGUGCCAUUUAAAAUGGUACUUGAAGUAAAAGUAGGCUGAUUUUCAAUUCAAAUGUUUAAAGACAACUCUGGUUUGCUUUGUUAAAUUUGAGCAAGCAUUCCAAGUGAAUAACAUUUAAAAACAAACACAUUCCUCUGUUUACUGUAAUACCAACUCAAGAAUAGGGAUAUUGAUGCCUAUGGUUUUAUCUUUCUAACAUUAAAAAAUUAAGCAGUUAUAAAAAUAUAAGUCACUUCAUGUUAUCUUCUAAAUGGGCAAUAUUAUUACAUCCUGAUACAACAGGAUAAAUGUGGAAAUUAUGUUCAAGUCCUGUUAUGCUGCAGACUGUCCCAGGUCUGAUAUCCAAACAGAGCAAAACCAGCAAGACUCACAGAGGGUUUUUCACAUAUUUGUGGCUCCUUUCAACUGCUGUCUUUAUUCUGCUGUGACUGCCAGUGGAAAAGGGCUGCAGUUUGGGCUGCAGUUUGCCCACUGUGCCCACCUUCCCAAGCAGAAACUCUGCCUAGCCUCAACAGGAGUCUUCCCUAAAACCCUCCUCUCUUGUAGCAGGCCUACCUCCAAGCCCUCACUGUUGCCCAUUUCCUUCCUCUUUGAGUGCUCUCUUCCGUGAAGGAUGGUGCCAAGGUCCCUGCCCCUCCAGUGGUGAUGACACCAGUUAUUUCAGAUUAGUGGGCAGUGGUAUUUGCUCAGAAGAGUUAGAGAGAUACACCCUCAUGGGUAAUAAUCUUUUGCUGCCGUCAUGGGAGCUCCCUUGGCUCUUUCUCCUUUUCAGCCAUCCGCUGCACAGCUGGGAGGAGACAGCACCCAACAUGCCUUGGUCAUUGUUCUACUGGUAGAUUGAGAUGAGAGGGAUUAGAGCUGAAAGAAAAAAAUUAUGAAGACAAGCCCUCAUGAGGCCCUGAGGAAUAUCAAAGUGAUGAAGAAUACCAGGAACUGCUGCUACUGUGGUGAUGAGUAGGUGAUUUUCGCAGCUCUGAGUAUACUUGACCCUAUUCCUUUCUGUAUGUAGGGGGUUGUCUUCCCCUCUAACAUUGUUCCUCCUCUGCUGUAUCACCUUUUCUCCCUUCUGGCCUCUUCUUCUCUCUGGCCAGACCCCUCCACUUCUUCUAUCUUACCUUCUCAGAUAUUUCUAAUCUGCUAAAUCUCAUUUCCAUCUCUGACUUUAUGUUUAAAAUCUCUAUCACCAUCCCCAGGUCUCUCUGAUUUUUGAGGUUUUACUGACUCCCUGCAAGAAGGACUGGCAACAUCUGAAAGGCACUCUCUGCCCCUUGUCUCUUUCAACUUGUUUACUGCCCUUUCUGAUGUCAGCCUCUGCUGUACUUGGAGAUUUCCAAAGACCCUCCAAUUCAGAUUCCACAACUCAGCCACUUGGCCCAUCCACCCCUGUUGGGUUUCUUCUUCCCAUCUCCUACUGAUCCUAUUUCUGGAGUCUCUGUUAAUCCUUCUCUGAGCUGCCCUUGGCAUUCAGGAAGCCUGCCAUCUUCUGUCUCCUAAAUUAUGAUAAGAGCUCAUUUGUCCCCACUCACACCGACUCCCUCCCUUGUAUUGUCUCCAGCCUCUGUGGUCCCAUUGCUUAAUCAUGACUUCACAAAUUCUUCCUUCCUCCCUGACCACUUCUUUAGUACCUGGCCUGAAUGUUAAAUAUUUUUUGUCCUAACAGAAACUCUCCUUAUUUUUUCCCUUAUGAAGAAUAGAUUAUAUUUUGUUCUGUUUUAUAGUUUUGAAGCAAAAUGGGAUGUGGAAAGGUAGCAUCAGCCUGUCCACUGUACAUAGUAUUUCUGCUUAUUAACUUUGUUAAUGUCACUUCUCAGGAGACUUACACAAUUGUAAUUUUUAAUAUUUUGUCAUCAUUUACACCUUUAACUUGGCUGAAGAAAGUUGUAUAAGAAGGGAUAUUUCUUCUUUUUAUUGUAACUGUGGAAAGGACUGUGAGCCAAACUCCUCUCUAUCUUUUCCCACAAUACUUGU